ACUUUUUGACGGGAAAAUUUUUCGCGACCUUUGUUCGGCUAAAUACUUUUGGAAAUAGUUUGGGCUUGGGCCUUGGGCCCGAGAAUAGCGUAAGGUUAGAGUCCAAAAUUUACUCUGGACACCCAACCGACGGGUAUGCUAGUGAACCUAGCCCAAUAAGUUAGUCAACCUUUGACCCAAACCUCUUCCUUGAUCCAAUAUGGUCCUUGUAGCUCAUAAUGACAUCUUUGCAUAAUUUUGAAAUAUACUUGUGCGUGCGUUUACGAUUUUCUUAUUUUACCUUUCUUAAUAAUUGGCGAAAUUUCUGCUCGCCUUACCCGAAGCUUACUCGUCAAGCAUCUCACCGACUUUCAAAAGCACAAUUUAUUUACUCCUUAUGUUUUUCAAACUCGAGCAAAACUCCGACAAAACUUGCCUUGCCAUUUUUUCUAUCUAAAAAUAAGUUUUGUGAGACCCGAUCCUUAUUUAGCAUUGUCAACACUUUAAUUUGAGUUUUCUUGUAUUUACUUAUUUUACUUUUAUUUUCCCCAUCAUUUUGGGUUUUUACCACCUUAUUCUUUUACCCCAAAUUUAUCUGCCCAAAGCUGAGCCUUCUCCUUCACACGCAAAACUCAGCUUUUCCUCUUUCCUUGUUCACGUCAGAGUUGGACAGAGAGAAAGGGAGCCUCGUUCAGCUCUUCCCCUCCACGUUUCCAUCAUGCAAAGGGCAACUCCUCCAAGAACAUCAUCUCAGACCUUCAAAAGAGAGAACCCAGGCCAUAAAUCGUCAUUCACCCAUCUCUUCUCAACUUUCCUCUCGUCCCUGGACACAUCAGUCCGUUUACGAGCCCAAAAACACCUAGUUAGAGACCUCCGAUGAAAAAACUUUCUUCAUCAAAGUUGUUCGCCUAUGUCUUCUCUAUCUAGUCUCCAAAUAUCAGCUCCAUCGGAAUUGAUUUGAGACCUGUACACCCCUCGAAGCGGAAGCUGUUCCGGAGCACGCCUGUUCCGGAUUUCUGCUUAAACUUCCUCUCUUGCUCUACCCGAAUCCCCAACACCUUGCUUGAGACUGAUACCAACAGUUGUCUCUGUUUCACUUUGCAUGUUCGAGACUGAGCAAACUUCUUGGCCUGUGGCUAGACUCGAUCCAAUCAGCUCCUUCAGCUCUCUUUCCUGUUGAAAUCCUCAAGAGAAGCUCAUCUUUUUUUUGUUAGUUUUUGGCUUGACAUCGUGGUGGAAUCUUGUGAAGUGGUGGUUGCUACAAGGUUGCAUUGAGGCCAAGUGCUGCAAGAGAAAGCUCGAGUUCCAGGAGAGGUCAGUUCCUCCUUGAGCCACCGGUGGUGGGCAGUGUGCACCAUGCCCUUGUUAUCUCCCCUUUGUCUCUAGCCUUGUGAUUAAUGAAUUCCGGAAAGUGAUUGGCUAGAUGGACGGUUGUGAUGGAAGUGUGAAAGAUGAUCAAUUGCCGUGGGAUUGUAGUUACGUGGUGACGAUCACGUGGAAGCGCAAACCGGUUUUAUCUACUUCUUUUAUUCAAAACAAUAACUCAUGUUUUUAAACUUAGAUAUGGGGGCGGGCAUGGGCAAUGACUGGAUGUAGGAGCCUAACCCCUACUUUAGUUUGUUUUGCAGGCUGUUGUUGUUGAAGCUUGGGCACGGAGGAUAAUCCUUGGAGGACACAAUUUGUUUUACUCUAUUUAAAGUUUAUUUCUUUUCGGCUUGCUUGAUUUCACUAAAGUUUUGUAACAUUAUGUAUGGUUGAUGAUGUGUGUGCUUGCUUACCACCAAAGUGGAACCCUAGGGUUAGAACCUCCAUUUGAAUUUAGGUCCUAGUGGGCUAGACCUAGAAGACUCACAUAAAUUACCAUUUAAUGAACUUAAUGCAAACUUGGGGCUAAGAACUAAAAAUUGACAUAGGUUCUAAAACUCAACUCAACACCACCUUCCUUUCCUCUUAUUCGCCUAGUUCGUAAUCUUGUGAUUACGAGCCAAGCCCACUAUACAAGCCCAAGAAUUUCAGGCUUAUAGAUUUCUUGCUUUCCAACCUAAAGGCCUUGUCUCUUUGAGGAAUUCUAGGCCCAAAACACUUGCUCCAAGUGUCGCGGGAGUAGGGUUCCUUGGGGAGGCGGCGCUGUGGUAAUCCGGUCUCCGGGUCGCAACAGAAAAGAUGGUAUCAGAGCAUAACGGUUCUG